CUUACGAUAACGCCAGUCUUCGGCAACAUGAUUGAACAAGGUCUAGUGUCAUCACGCAUUUUUAGUUUUUAUCUAAAUAGAGACCCUAACUCAGCUAAUUUAGGUGGUAAUUGACAUUCGGUGGUUCCGAUCCUGCUUAUUACGAAGGAAAUUUUACAUAUGUUCCUGCUAAUAUCGAAAGAUCCUGGGAAAUUACCAUAGAUAGUAUCGAAAUAGAUGGGAUUCCUUUUU